AGAGUUUGAUCCUGGCUCAGGACGAACGCUGGCGGCAUGCCUAAUACAUGCAAGUCGAACGAUGAAGCUUCCUGCUUGCAGGAAGCGGAUUAGUGGCGAACGGGUGAGUAACACGUGGGGAAUCUGCCCAUGAGCGAGGAAUAACAUUCGGAAACGGAUGCUAAUACCUCAUAAGUUCUCUGACCUCCUGGUCAUUGAAUAAAAGACGGCCUUUGUGCUGUCACUCAUGGAUGAUCCCGCGGCGUAUUAGUUAGUUGGUGAGGUAAUGGCUCACCAAGACCAUGAUACGUAGCCGACCUGAGAGGGUGAUCGGCCACACUGGGACUGAGACACGGCCCAGACUCCUACGGGAGGCAGCAGUAGGGAAUCUUCCACAAUGGGUGCAAACCUGAUGGAGCAAUGCCGCGUGAAUGAAGAAGGUCUUCGGAUCGUAAAGUUCUGUUAUUAGUGAAGAACAAAUCGAGGAGUAACUGUCUCGAUUUUGACGGUAACUAACCAGAAAGUCACGGCUAACUACGUGCCAGCAGCCGCGGUAAUACGUAGGUGACAAGCGUUGUCCGGAAUUAUUGGGCGAAAAGGAAGCGCAGGCGGGUGGGAAUAGUCUGAUGUGAAAAGCCCCCCGCUUAACCCGGGGAAGGUCCUUGGAAAACUGGUCCACUUUGAAUUGCAAAAAAGGGAAGGUGGAAAUUUCCUGGUGGAGGCGGGGAAAUUGCCGUAAAUUAUUUGGAAGGAACCCCCGUGGGCGAAAGGCAACUUUUCUGGUUUG
rnacentral:rRNA from 1 species